GGGCAUGUGGCGCAGUGGUAGCGCUUCCGCUUCGCACUGCUUUGGCGUGUGAAUGCGGAAGGUUUUGGGUUCGAGUCCCAACUUGUUCA